CCUACGGGUGACAGCAGUGAGGAAUAUUGGUCAAUGGGCGUAAGCCUGAACCAGCCAAGUCGCGUGAGGGAUGAAGGUUCUAUGGAUCGUAAACCUCUUUUAUAAGGGAAUAAAGUGUGGGACGUGUCCUAUUUUGUAUGUACCUUAUGAAUAAGGAUCGGCUAACUCCGUGCCAGCAGCCGCGGUAAUACGGAGGUUCCGAGCGUUAUCCGGAUUGAUUGGGUUUAAAGGGUGCGUAGGCGGCCUUUUAAGUCAGCGGUGAAAGUCUGUGGCUCAACCAUAGAAUUGCCGUUGAAACUGGGGGGCUUGAGUAUGUUUGAGGCAGGCUGAAUUCGUGGUGUAGCGGUGCAAUGCUUAGAUAUCACGCAGAACCCCGAUUGCGAAGGCAGCCUGCCAAGCCAUGACUGACGCUGAUGCACGAAAGCGUGGGGAUCAAACAGGAUUAGCUACCCGAGUAGUC
rnacentral:rRNA from 1 species